AGACGUUUAUGUUAAGGGGCAAGAUGGAGCGUCUGUCCUUCGGUCAUUGAAGAGUUCAACAAGGACUCUUAUGACACCCACACUAUAUGGAACCUAAAAGGCUUCUUCAGAGGUUCUGUACCUGGAUUUCCUAGGGAACAUUGUAGGGGUAGAGAUCAUCAUAGAUCAUUGAUUGACCUGUGAACUGGAAAACAAAGCCUUCCUGAAAACCAACGAUGAGGAAAAAAAAAAAAUGGCUGAAGCAGUCUUCACCUGAUUGCAUGAAAGCCGCUUGCCCAAACAAUAGUCAACUAGAGGAAAGAACUGUAUGUUGAUGAAUGUGAUUGUGAAGUAAGGGAAGCCAUAGCCAAGAAGAGAGGUAGCCAGAAGCAGUGAGCCGAAAUCACAGGGAGUGAGUGCACACCUGAGGCAGCAAGUGGAAACUAGAAUAGGAAGCCUGUGGAAAACUACCUGGCAUGUAUUAUUGUUUAAUUGUCAAAGUGAGGCAGAUUCAUGUCUUAAAAAUAUUUAUGAAAGGUUACCUGACUGUUAUAAUUGUAGUUGUUCAUACAUGGGAUGAAAAUGUGUCCUUUGUUUCAAUAUGUCUUGGAUAGGUUUAGGACAUUUAAAAUAAAUGCAAA